ACUCCAACAGCACCGCCAUCGUGAAGAGAAGACUGGGUUAGGAUUUUAAUAAGCUUUAAACAAAUAAAUAUAUAAAGCCUAGCUACCAGGGACUGUGGGCUGUUUCCUGCUGCAUUCUGUCAGUGGUGCUCCUGGCCUCUGUCCGCUCUAGAACAGAGAAGCCAUGCAGCUGUCUUCACAUGUGGUCACUGUGCACAUGUGUGUGUAGGGGGGGGGGGUUCUUCUGAGAUGACCGCAUGCCCAUGGCUGUGAAGGAGGGAGGUACACCCCAUGCAGGCACACAGAUGUAGCAUCUGGGAGGCCUGUGUUAGUGCAGGACAUAGAGGGCAGAGAGCAAGGAGGGGUGUAAGGGCACACAUGGAUGACAACCAGACCUUCAGAGAGCUCGUCUCCAGAGCAUCACAUUCAGAGCUUGCCACAGUGCGAUGACCUCAGGAAAUACACGCCGAAGCAGUAAACGAACGGGUGGAUGCAGUCUGUGCCGGAAUCCUUCAACUUUAGCCGGCCCCUAUAAUUAAGCAUUACACCUUGCCUCUGACCUGGGGAAGCCCUAAUGCUCAUUUCACAGAUGAGAAAGCCGAGGCAGCCCUCUACCUCCCCUCUAGCCCUUGGCAGCCGAACCCAAGCUUUCUGGAUCCCAGACUUCCCGUGGAGCAAAUCAACCAUGUGGAACCGCUCAAGCUGACUUGGCUGUGACCUGCCCAGAUCACUCAAGAAUCGCUCUGCUGACAAGUCUGGUCAAAGGCUUGAGCUGUGCCCAGGGGUGGGAGUAACGCCUGGCACGGAGUGGACAUGGAGAUCCCUGGCGCUCCCUCCUCCUACCAGGCUGUAGAUGGACCACAGAUAGAUGGCCAAUUUUCAAAGAAUGAAAAUACUACAGUACGCCUGUCACCACACCGUUGACGCUUUGAUGGCUCAGAAAGCGAGUUUAGAGCCAGCUGGCGCACCUCGAUGGAGUCCUGACCUCCUGGCAUGGGGUGCUACCUGUGCAGCGUAGGGUGCCGAUUGAGCUCUGGAGCCUGCCACCACAGCUCAGAGUCUGCUUUAAAGGGAGGCAGAUGCCUUGAUGUGGGGCUCCCCUCUGUGAAUGACCCCCAACAGUGGCACUUCCAAAACUAGCCUGCACCAGGAGGGGCUGGCAGCCAGCUGAGUCUCUGGAGCCUCACUUCUCUUUGUCUCUGCGGUGCUCUGACUUGCUUUAGGCUCAGUGCUGGCCAGCUUGUUGGUCAUUCCUGCUUGCUGCUUCUUUAAACUGCUGACCACCAUGGACCCAUGAGUAUCCUCUGGAUCGCUCCAGCUUCCCCCAGCUCCUGGCCUCUGCGAUUCUGCCAGCUCUGUCAGGACAGGGGUUUGUGUGCCUGGUUUUGCAAACUCAGGACUCAAGACAGCGGCUGACAAUGGUGCCAUGUCCCUGCAAUAGACAUUUCCCAAACUCUCAUUCUCCACGUCCUGCUAUUACAGGCACGGUCCCACCACA